GAGCGGCGAACGGGUGAGUAAUACAUCGGAACGUGUCCUCUCGUGGGGGAUAACCAGUCGAAAGACUGGCUAAUACCGCAUGAGCUGAGAGAGGAAAGCGGGGGACCGCAAGGCCUCGCGCGAGAGGAGCGGCCGAUGUCCGAUUAGCUAGUUGGUGGGGUAACGGCUCACCAAGGCGACGAUCGGUAGCUGGUCUGAGAGGACGACCAGCCACACUGGGACUGAGACACGGCCCAGACUCCUACGGGAGGCAGCAGUGGGGAAUUUUGGACAAUGGGCGCAAGCCUGAUCCAGCCAUGCCGCGUGUGUGAAGAAGGCCUUCGGGUUGUAAAGCACUUUCGGACGGAACGAAAUCGCGCGGGUGAACAAUCCGCGUGGAUGACGGUACCGUAAGAAGAAGCACCGGCUAACUACGUGCCAGCAGCCGCGGUAAUACGUAGGGUGCGAGCGUUAAUCGGAAUUACUGGGCGUAAAGUGUGCGCAGGCGGCCUCGCAAGUCAAGUGUGAAAUCCCCGAGCUCAACUUGGGAAUUGCGCUUGAAACUACGGGGCUCGAGUGUGGCAGAGGGAGGUGGAAUUCCACGUGUAGCGGUGAAAUGCGUAGAGAUGUGGAGGAACACCGAUGGCGAAGGCAGCCUCCUGGGCCAACAC
rnacentral:rRNA from 1 species